rnacentral:rRNA from 1 species
UACGGGGGGGGCAAGCGUUGUUCGGAAUUACUGGGCGUAAAGGGCUCGUAGGCGGCCAACUAAGUCGGAUGUGAAAUCCCCAGGCUUAACCUGGGAACUGCAUCCGAUACUGGAUGGCUUGAAUCCGGGAGAGGGAUGCAGAAUUCCAGGUGUAGCGGUGAAAUGCGUAGAUAUCAGGAGGAACACCGGUGGCGAAGGCGGCCCUCUGGACGGUGACUGACGCUGAGACGCGAAAGCGUGGGGAGCAAACAGG